rnacentral:lncRNA from 1 species
UAUGAUCAUAAAUAAGCUUCUGUCCAAGUUUGGUACAAACCCAGGAUAGUUUAAGAAAGUUAUUAAAAUUUUAAAAACUUUAACCACAGAGUGAAUGUAAUGUUUCCCAGCAGAAAAUACAAAAGUCCAUUUAAAAGUAAAAUACGGAAAAAAUGGAUUUAUUUUUUUACAAAACUUACUUCUGGAUACUAUCUUAUGAUCAUAAACAAGCUUCUGUCCAAGUUUGGUACAAACCAAGGAUAGUUUAAGAAAGUUAUUAAAAUUCUAAAAACUUUAACCAC